rnacentral:rRNA from 1 species
GUAGGGAAUAUUGGACAAUGGGGGGAACCCUGAUCCAGCCAUGCCGCGUGGAGGAAGACUGCCCUCUGGGUUGUAAACUCCUUUUAUAUGGGAAGAACCGUCCUCAUUAAUGAGUGACCUGACGGUACCAUAGGAAUAAGCACCGGCUAACUCCGUGCCAGCAGCCGCGGUAAUACGGAGGGUGCAAGCGUUAUCCGGAUUCACUGGGUUUAAAGGGUGCGUAGGCGGAUAAAUAAGUCAGUGGUGAAAUCAACGGGCUCAACCUGUUAACUGCCAUUGAUACUGUGUAUCUUGAAUAUGAGAGAGGUAGGCGGAAUGUUGCAUGUAGCGGUGAAAUGCUUAGAUAUGCUACGGAACACCGAUUGUGAAGGCAGCUUACUAUUUCGUAAUUGACGCUGAGGCACGAAAGCGUGGGUAGCGAACAGGAUUAGAUACCCUGGUAGUCC